rnacentral:rRNA from 1 species
AUUGAACGCUGGCGGCAUGCCUUACACAUGCAAGUCGAACGGUAACAGGUCUUCGGAUGCUGACGAGUGGCGAACGGGUGAGUAAUACAUCGGAACGUGCCUAGUAGUGGGGGAUACCUACUCGAAAGAGUGGCUAAUACCGCAUGAGAUCUACGGAUGAAAGCAGGGGAUCGCAAGAUCUUGUGCUACUAGAGCGGCCGGUGGCAGAUUAGGUAGUUGGUGGGAUAAAAGCUUACCGAGCCGACGAUCUGUGGCUGGUCUGAGAGGACGAUCAGCCACACUGGGACUGAGACACGGCCCAGACUCCUACGGGAGGCAGCAGUGGGGAAUUUUGGACAAUGGGCGAAAGCCUGAUCCAGCAAUGCCGCGUGCAGGAUGAAGGCCUUCGGGUUGUAAACUGCUUUUGUACGGAACGAAAAGCCCCGGGUUAAUACCCUGGGGUCAUGACGGUACCGUAAGAAUAAGCACCGGCUAACUACGUGCCAGCCGCCGCGGUAA